CUUCGUUUGAAACGCGGGAGGCAGUCGGGUUAAUGGCGUGCCGUGCCGAGCUCAGCUGUGGCACAAUUAGAAAAGCCUGUUGCUCAAAGGCCCUGACUCACCUCCCAGAUAGGAACCAGGACAGUCCCAGAGCAGGAGGCUCUGAAUCCAGUGGCUGUAACAGUCUCGUCACUUGCAAACUCUACCAGCAUUGUUGAUCCUGAAGCAACGAUGGAAGGCAGCGGC